GUCGAGCGGACAGAAGGGAGCUUGCUCCCGGAUGUUAGCGGCGGACGGGUGAGUAACACGUGGGUAACCUGCCUGUAAGACUGGGAUAACUCCGGGAAACCGGAGCUAAUACCGGAUAGUUCCUUGAACCGCAUGGUUCAAGGAUGAAAGACGGUUUCGGCUGUCACUUACAGAUGGACCCGCGGCGCAUUAGCUAGUUGGUGGGGUAAUGGCUCACCAAGGCGACGAUGCGUAGCCGACCUGAGAGGGUGAUCGGCCACACUGGGACUGAGACACGGCCCAGACUCCUACGGGAGGCAGCAGUAGGGAAUCUUCCGCAAUGGACGAAAGUCUGACGGAGCAACGCCGCGUGAGUGAUGAAGGUUUUCGGAUCGUAAAGCUCUGUUGUUAGGGAAGAACAAGUGCGAGAGUAACUGCUCGCACCAUGACGGUACCUAACCAGAAAGCCACGGCUAACUACGUGCCAGCAGCCGCGGUAAUACGUAGGUGGCAAGCGUUGUCCGGAAUUAUUGGGCGUAAAGGGCUCGCAGGCGGUUUCUUAAGUCUGAUGUGAAAGCCCCCGGCUCAACCGGGGAGGGUCAUUGGAAACUGGGAAACUUGAGUGCAGAAGAGGAGAGUGGAAUUCCACGUGUAGCGGUGAAAUGCGUAGAGAUGUGGAGGAACACCAGUGGCGAAGGCGACUCUCUGGUCUGUAACUGACGCUGAGGAGCGAAAGCGUGGGGAGCGAACAGGAUUAGAUACCCUGGUAGUCCACGCCGUAAACGAUGAGUGCUAAGUGUUAGGGGGGUUUCCGCCCCUUAGUGCUGCAGCUAACGCAUUAAGCACU
rnacentral:rRNA from 1 species